CCACACUUUAACUUAUGUUGAAAGCUGAAUUUUUUGGUCCUUUUGCUUCAUAAGGACAUUAAUAUUUCUGUGACCUUUACAGGAUGGCAGCUGAGGAGCAUUAAAUAACCCAACAAACCUAAGAAAGUCAAUAAUUUAAGAUGCAUAUUCUGAUCUGGGUCUUAAAAAAGUCCCAGAGGAAGUGAUUCCUUUCCAAAAGGAAAGAUAGGGUGGCUACAACAUUUACUUAUGGCACCCUGACACUUAUAGGUUCCUCUUGUUCAACUUCCCUUUACAUGAAAUCUAAGUGCUGAGAACACCCCGGUGGCUUGGGCAGUGCUGGGGUAGGGGACGGGAAGGAUGCUGUCUUUCUGGCUUGGCUACUGAGCUGAUUAUGCCCCUGCUGGGACCAAGGUGAUAAACAUUGAAAUCAGGUGGGGUCUUCUGCUUCCUCUGGAAUGAGCAGGGAGACGCGGGAGGGGCAGAGGCCCCUAUUUCCAUUCUUUGGAGCAGCGUCAGCUACAGGCAGUAUCUGAAGGCCUACACAUUCCACUGUUCAGUGUUGGCAGCACCGGCUGGCAUAGGAGAAAAACGAAGGAUCAGAAUGCCGUGGAUACGGGCUCAAGCCUUGGAGGUUUCUUGUUUUAAAGCUGGCCCACUCAAUACAAGGGCCUGCCUUUCUCCUCGGCUCCCCAGAUACUACUGACCUGAUGGUCCUUCUGAUCUCUCCACCCUGGACCUCUGAGGACGGCGGGUGGUCCCUCACUCAUAAUAGAAUCCAGACUCCCGUGCUUGUCCUUUGGUCUCAGGGUAUUUCCUCGGCCUAAUGUUCCCGCCCUGUCUCUAC
rnacentral:lncRNA from 1 species